rnacentral:rRNA from 1 species
UACGUAGGGGGCUAGCGUUGUCCGGAUUUAUUGGGCGUAAAGAGCGUGUAGGCGGCCUGGUAGGUCUGCUGUGAAAACUCGAGGCUCAACCUCGAGAUGUCGGCGGAAACCAUCUGGCUAGAGUCCGGAAGAGGAGAGUGGAAUUCCUGGUGUAGCGGUGAAAUGCGCAGAUAUCAGGAAGAACACCUAUGGCGAAGGCAGCUCUCUGGGACGGUACUGACGCUGAGACGCGAAAGCGUUGGGAGCGAACAGG